GACGAACGCUGGCGGCGUGCCUAAUACAUGCAAGUCGAGCGGACUUUCAAGAAGCUUGCUUUUUGAAAGUUAGCGGCGGACGGGUGAGUAACACGUGGGCAACCUGCCUGCAAGACGGGGAUAACUCCGGGAAACCGGGGCUAAUACCGGAUAAUAUCUUCCUUCGCAUGAAGGAAGGUUGAAAGGCGGCGCAAGCUGCCGCUUGCAGAUGGGCCCGCGGCGCAUUAGCUAGUUGGUGAGGUAACGGCUCACCAAGGCGACGAUGCGUAGCCGACCUGAGAGGGUGGUCGGCCACACUGGGACUGGGACCCGGCCCAGACUCCUCCGGGAGGCAGCAGUAGGGCAUCUUGCGCCAUGGGCGAAAGUCUGACGGAGCAACGCCGCGUGAGCAAAGAAGGUCUUCGGAUCGUAAAGCUCUGUUGUCAGGGAAGAACAAGUACCGUUCGAACAGGGCGGUACCUUGACGGUACCUGACCAGAAAGCCACGGCUAACUACGUG
rnacentral:rRNA from 1 species